UUGUGGAGGAGGACGCCGAAGGUGGGGCUAAUGACUGGGGUGAAGUCGUAACAAGGUAGCCGUACCGGAAGGUGCGGCUGGAUCACCUCCUAACAGGGAGACAACAAAAUGUUUAAUAUUGUUUUUGUCACCUUAGGUCGAUCGGUAUCUCACGUUCUUAAUUAAUUAAGAAUUUCAUUUCCUAAGUUUUUCUAGGUCACACCCAUUAUUUUUCCUGGGCCAUUAGCUCAGGUGGUUAGAGCGCACCCCUGAUAAGGGUGAGGUCCCUGGUUCAAGUCCAGGAUGGCCCAUAUCUCUAUGUUGGGGGUAUAGCUCAGUUGGUAGAGCGCCUGCUUUGCAAGCAGGAUGUCAGCGGUUCGAGUCCGCUUACCUCCACUGAUUACCACCUCUUCCAUAAUCCGUAGAAAGGAAAUUUUUUGAGUUGUGAUCAAUUUCUGAACGAAUCUAGCUUCCUAAUGAAAUCAUUAAGAUGCUGGACUCAUUGAAUUAAUUUCAUUGUUUUCAGAGAACCUUGACAACUGCAUAGAUUAUUUUUAAAGACAAUAAGCAUCUUUAAUGAUGCAGAUUUAUUAUUUGUGCAAAUGCAUUAAUAACAAUUCUAUUAAGCUGAUGCUUCAAUUUUGAAGUUAUUGGUCAAGCUACAA
rnacentral:misc_RNA from 1 species